rnacentral:rRNA from 1 species
GACGAACGCUGGCGGCGUGCCUAAUACAUGCAAGUAGAACGCUGAAGGAGGAGCUUGCUCUUCUGGAUGAGUUGCGAACGGGUGGGUAACGCGUAGGUAACCUGCCUGGUAGCGGGGGAUAACUAUUGGAAACGAUAGCUAAUACCGCAUAACAGUAGAUGUUGCAUGACAUUUACUUAAAAGGUGCAAUUGCAUCACUACCAGAUGGACCUGCGUUGUAUUAGCUAGUUGGUGGGGUAACGGCUCACCAAGGCGACGAUACAUAGCCGACCUGAGAGGGUGAUCGGCCACACUGGGACUGAGACACGGCCCAGACUCCUACGGGAGGCAGCAGUAGGGAAUCUUCGGCAAUGGACGGAAGUCUGACCGAGCAACGCCGCGUGAGUGAAGAAGGUUUUCGGAUCGUAAAGCUCUGUUGUAAGAGAAGAACGAGUGUGAGAGUGGAAAGUUCACACUGUGACGGUAUCUUACCAGAAAGGGACGGCUAACUACGUG